rnacentral:rRNA from 1 species
GAUGAACGCUGGCGGCGUGCUUAACACAUGCAAGUCGAACGGAAAGGCCCAAGCUUGCUUGGGUACUCGAGUGGCGAACGGGUGAGUAACACGUGGGUGAUCUGCCCUGCACUUCGGGAUAAGCCUGGGAAACUGGGUCUAAUACCGGAUAGGACCACUUCUUGGAUGUUGUGGUGGAAAGUUUUUUCGGUGUGGGAUGAGCUCGCGGCCUAUCGGCUUGUUGGUGGGGUCAUGGCCUACCAAGGCGUCGACGGGUAGCCGGCCUGAGAGGGUGUACGGCCAAAUUGGGACUGAGAGACGGCCCAGACUCCUGCGGGGGGCAGCAGUGGGGAAUAUUGCACAAUGGGCGCAAGCCUGAUGCAGCGACGCCGCGUGGGGGAUGACGGCCUUCGGGUUGUAAACUCCUUUCGCUAGGGACGAAGCGUUUUGUGACGGUACCUGGAGAAGAAGCACCGGCUAACUACGUG